rnacentral:rRNA from 1 species
AGUGAACGCUGGCGGUAGGCCUAACACAUGCAAGUCGAACGGCAGCCCAGUAAGAGCUUGCUCUUACGGGUGGCGAGUGGCGGACGGGUGAGGUAUACAUCGGAAUCUACUUUUUCGUGGGGGAUAACGUAGGGAAACUUACGCUAAUACCGCAUACGACCUACGGGUGAAAGCAGGGGAUCUUCGGACCUUGCGCGAUUGAAUGAGCCGAUGUCGGAUUCGCUAGUUGGCGGGGUAAAGGCCCACCAAGGCGACGAUCCGUAGCUGGUCUGAGAGGAUGAUCAGCCACACUGGAACUGAGACACGGUCCAGACUCCUACGGGAGGCAGCAGUGGGGAAUAUUGGACAAUGGGCGCAAGCCUGAUCCAGCCAUACCGCGUGGGUGAAGAAGGCCUUCGGGUUGUAAAGCCCUUUUGUUGGGAAAGAAAAGCAGCAGGUUAAUACCCCGCUGUUCUGACGGUACCCAAAGAAUAAGCACCGGCUAACUUCGUG